GCCCGGAUGGCGGAAUUGGUAGACGCGUUGGACUCAAAAUCCAAUGUUCGCAAGAACGUGAGAGUUCAAGUCUCUCUCCGGGCA
rnacentral:tRNA from 1 species